GAUGAACGCUAGCGGCAGGCUUAACACAUGCAAGUCGAGGGGUAGUCUAGCAAUAGAUGAGACCGGCGCACGGGUGCGUAACGCGUAUGCAAUCUACCUUUUACAGAGGGAUAGCCCAGAGAAAUUUGGAUUAAUACCUCAUAGUAUAACGACUCGGCAUCGAGAUGUUAUUAAAGUUCCAACGGUAAAAGAUGAGCAUGCGUCCCAUUAGCUAGUUGGUGUGGUAACGGCACACCAAGGCAACGAUGGGUAGGGGUCCUGAGAGGGAGAUCCCCCACACUGGUACUGAGACACGGACCAGACUCCUACGGGAGGCAGCAGUGAGGAAUAUUGGUCAAUGGGCGCAAGCCUGAACCAGCCAUGCCGCGUGCAGGAUGACGGUCCUAUGGAUUGUAAACUGCUUUUGUACAGGAAGAAACACUCCCUCGUGAGGGAGCUUGACGGUACUGUAAGAAUAAGGAUCGGCUAACUCCGUGCCAGCAGCCGCGGUAAUACGGAGGAUCUAAGCGUUAUCCGGAAUCAUUGGGUUUAAAGGGUCCGUAGGCGGGUUUAUAAGUCAGUGGUGAAAGCCCAUCGCUCAACGAUGGAACGGCCAUUGAUACUGUAGAUCUUGAAUUAUUAGGAAGUAACUAGAAUAUGUAGUGUAGCGGUGAAAUGCUUAGAGAUUACAUGGAAUACCAAUUGCGAAGGCAGGUUACUACUAAUGGAUUGACGCUGAUGGACGAAAGCGUGGGUAGCGAACAGGAUUAGAUACCCUGGUAGUCCACGCCGUAAACGAUGGAUACUAGCUGUUCGGAGCAAUCUGAGUGGCUAAGCGAAAGUGAUAAGUAUCCCACCUGGGGAGUACGUUCGCAAGAAUGAA
rnacentral:rRNA from 1 species